UAGUCGUUUACUGGACAAAAUGAGUG
rnacentral:piRNA from 1 species